UCUGCCUUGGACUCUGGGAUAACAUCUCGAAAGGGGUGCUAAUACCGGAUAAGCCCACGAUGGCGUAAGUCAUUGCGGGAAAAGGGGGCCUCUGAAUAUGCUCCUGAUUCAAGAUGAGUCUGCGUACCAUUAGCUAGUUGGUAGGGUAAGAGCCUACCAAGGCGACGAUGGUUAGCUGGUCUGAGAGGAUGAUCAGCCACACUGGAACUGAGACACGGUCCAGACUCCUACGGGAGGCAGCAGUGGGGAAUUUUGCGCAAUGGGGGAAACCCUGACGCAGCAACGCCGCGUGAGUGAUGAAGGCUUUCGGGUCGUAAAGCUCUGUCUAGAGGGAAGAAAUGAUAGUCGGUUAAUA
rnacentral:rRNA from 1 species